rnacentral:rRNA from 1 species
CCUACGGGGGGCAGCAGUGAGGAAUAUUGGUCAAUGGGCUUACGUCUGAACCAGCCAAGUCGCGUGAGGGAAGACUGCCCUAUGGGUUGUAAACCUCUUUUGUCAGGGAGCAAUUGGCGCUACGUGUAGCGUUAUCGAGAGUACCUGAAGAAAAAGCAUCGGCUAACUCCGUGCCAGCAGCCGCGGUAAUACGGAGGGUCCGAGCGUUAUCCGGAUUUAUUGGGUUUAAAGGGGGCGUAGGUGGAUUGUUAAGUCAGUUGUGAAAGUUUGCGGCUCAACCGUGACAUUGCAGUUGAAACUGGCAGUCUAGAGUACAGUAGAGGUGGGCGGAAUUCGUGGUGUAGCGGUGAAAUGCUUAGAUAUCACGAAGAACUCCGAUUGCGAAGGCAGCUCACUGGACUGCAACUGACACUGAGGCUCGAAAGUGUGGGUAUCAAACAGGAUUAGAUACCCUGGUAGUC